UGGAGAGGGGCUGGAGAUGCAGCAGGGAUGGGAGGCACUGCACAGGGCCACGAGAUGGGUCUGUGCUGCUGUCAUCACCUCCUCCAUCCCCAGCUGGUACCCAGGGCCGGAUCAGAGCCCAUCCAGGUACCCGGGGCCGGACCAGAGCCCAUCCAGCUGUGUGAGCUGUGCUCAGGCUGCUCUGGAAACUGCUAAACGGUGCUUGGGGCUGGGGCUGCAGGCAG